rnacentral:rRNA from 1 species
UACGUAGGGAGCGAGCGUUGUCCGGAUUUAUUGGGCGGAAAGAGCGCGUAGGCGGCUCGGUAAGCCGGAUGUGAAACCUCCAAGCUCAACUUGGAGCGGCCAUUCGGAACUGCUGUGGCUAGAGUCUGGUAGGGGAACACGGAAUUCCUGGUGUAGCGGUGAAAUGCUUAGAUAUCAGGAGGAACACCAGUGGCGAAGGCGGUGUUCUGGGCCAGUACUGACGCUGAGGCGCGAAAGCGUGGGGAGCGAACAGG